rnacentral:rRNA from 1 species
AGCGCCAGCUGCAGUGCCGGGUAGCUAAGUAUGGAAGGGAUAACCGCUGAAAGCAUCUAAGUGGGAAACCCACCUCAAAACUAGUUCUUCCCAUAGAGCCGUAGUAGACCACUACGUUGAUAGGCUGGAUGUGUAAGCGCGGUAACGCGUGUAGCUGACCAGUACUAAUAGCUCAAUUGGCUUGAUUUAUG